rnacentral:rRNA from 1 species
AUUGAACGCUGGCGGCAUGCUUUACACAUGCAAGUCGAACGGCAGCACGGGUGCUUGCACCUGGUGGCGAGUGGCGAACGGGUGAGUAAUGCAUCGGAACGUAUCCAAUAAUGGGGGAUAACGCACCGAAAGGUGUGCUAAUACCGCAUACGCCCUGAGGGGGAAAGUGGGGGACCGUAAGGCCUCACGUUAAUGGAGCGGCCGAUGCCUGAUUAGCUAGUUGGUGAGGUAAAGGCUCACCAAGGCGACGAUCAGUAGCUGGUCUGAGAGGACGACCAGCCACACUGGGACUGAGACACGGCCCAGACUCCUACGGGAGGCAGCAGUGGGGAAUUUUGGACAAUGGGCGCAAGCCUGAUCCAGCCAUUCCGCGUGCAGGAUGAAGGCCCUCGGGUUGUAAACUGCUUUUGUACGGAACGAAAAGGCUCUGGUUAAUACCUGGGGCUCAUGACGGUACCGUAAGAAUAAGCACCGGCUAACUACGUGCCAGCCGCUGCAGUAA